GAAGUGAAGAACACCUUUAUUUUAUGAAAAUUAGUGAACAUUUACAAAAGGUGAUACACAGUGGAUCUAACUGAUUAUUAUGGACCCUAAAUUAUGUCAUUCUAUCCCAGUAAUAGGUUUAUUACUAAUACCUUUCAAUAGAUUCACUUAUCCUACAUAAGAUUACUUUGAAUAUCAUCAAAUCUAAAAAUCAAUGUGAUAGAUUUACUGGUGAAAGCAUGAACUGGAACUUUUUCCUGAGGGACAUUAAAAGUGAUAAACUGUAUAAGCUAUAUAAGAAAACAAUGCAAUGAUAAGGACACAAAGUAAAACAGUAUUUUCACAGAUAGACUAAAAACACAGCAAGACUUCAAAUACACUUUGUGUCAAGGGUUAUAUAUUGCUGGAUUUUCAAGCAGAUUGACAAAAAUAUUCUUAGUCCCUGACAAAAAUUUUCAUUGACAUCUACAGAUAGAGAUAGCAACAGGAAGAUGGAAAGAACAACACUCUUAUUUUCACAGGUGACCACUAACUUAUAAAGGUACAUACAGCAUGUUCUUAUCUGAGUACAUGUAAUAUAAGCUCUAAAACCACAAGUUUUCAGAUUGUUCCACUCUACAAAAUUUCUGUGAUGGUGGGCAAUGGAGGAAAUCAGUCUUUUUUUUUUUAUAUCUGCCAAUCCUGUGAUAAAUUUAUUCCACUAAAAAAGCAAAGACGACACUGCUCAUGAAUUUGUUUCUAAGAGGAAAGCUAAAUGUCAAAACUAUACAGGAAGCAUCUUCAUUUGACUAUAGCCAUAUGAGUUACAAAAAAAGGUGGUAUUUUCCUCUCCAGUGAGCAGCAUGACAAAGCCCACCCUAAUUUCUGUAGAUCCCAAUUCUGGUGAAGUAGGGAGCACCUUGUUUUUUUCAGUGUAUCCUGGAGCAUCCACAAACAAGUAAAAUGGCACCUUCUUCAUCCCCAGUUAAAUAUCCAUCCACACAGAAACUCCUGUUCUUCACUGAUAGCUCAUUUGCCUUGUUGUUUCCUUCUGUAUCAGUAUUUACCAAUCCUGAGACACUAUGGCAUGCAGCCAUCAACAUCCUUGGAGUUUCAGUCUUCCCUGUUAGAAUGCAGUGCUACAUUGUAGAUCUUAAGGUUUUGCAAUCAUAACUGCAUCUCAGGCUUAUAUACCACACCUCCUCAGGGUUCUUCUUAUGGCAGUCAACCGUUUUCUAAAAAGAUACUCCCACUUACAUUGAUUGUGCAAUAAUCACAUACUGCAGUUGGAUUGUUCUGCUAAUCAUUUUUCAGAUAAAAUCCCUCUCAUGCAACUUAGGAGCUGUCUUUCAUGCUCCAUGUCCUGGGCUCACAGAAGGACUCUAAGAGGAGCAAUCUUCAGAUAGAGAU
ensembl:lncRNA